GGCGGUCUUCCAGUGCCGCACGAUCCGUCGAGAUCGCGUCGGGGUGGGGGUGGGGGCGGCGCGGGGCGGGGGGAUUACGGGGGAGAAGCCGCCGGUGCCGGUGCCGGCGCCGCCCGCGUCAGAGAAAGGGGAAGUGCGGGAGGGAAGCGGGGAUCAACGGAGCGCGCCCGUCCUCUUCUCCACUUGCGUGGGCGGCACCUUCGACGGGAUGCCCGUGCAGCCGCCGGUUUCGCGUUCCCUCUCCGCUGCGGACGGCGGUUCCCUCCGGCGGCUGCACGAACUUAGCUUCAGCAUGAGCUUCUUAGAUUGAAAGAGUAAAUUGCUCGGCUGAAAUCCAAAAUCAAAAGCUGCAACAAAGAGAUUGACAAAAAGAAGGAUGAUAGCAAGAAGCAGUUGGAACAGAUGAAAAGUUUGCAUAAUGCUUUGGUUGAUGUCACAAGAACUAUCAAUGAAUUGAAUGAGCAAGGCCAAAAUAAAAAUCGAGAAAACCGCACUUAGCUGAUGACCAACUCCAGGAAUAUCACAGAAUUAAGGAAGAUGCGGCAAUGAGUACAACAAAGCUGAGACUUGAGAGAUGGGAUGGAAGGUUUUUUACAAAGAGCUUGCUGCUGACGUUUAAGCAAAAAAUAAUUUAGAGAAUAUGCAGCAGUUGUGUAGCUGUGAGAAUGAGAUUGUCACAAGUGCGUGAAUCGUGUGCAAAGCUUAAUAAGAUUCUUCAUUCAAUCCCCAACCAGGAAGAUGAGCUUCCUCGCUUAUGUGAGGAAAAUAACAAAGGAGCACCAGCCCUCAGGAGUUAAAUACCAAAAUGCUGAGGCAGAGGUUGGACGAGAUAUGUAAGGAAUUGUGAAAGCUUAAUGCUGACAAGCAUGAAAGUGAGUGGGAUGCUUGAUUUUCAGGAACAGCUAGGAGUCUAAGGCGGCUAUUCCCUGGAGUCCAUGGCGUGACAGAACUUUGUAUGCCUUAACAGAGAAAUACAACCUCGCUGCCACUGUUGCUAUGUGGAAUUCGUGGACGUAGUAAUGGUAGAAGAUAAGAGCAGAGCAAAAGAACACAUUAAGCUGCAGGAAUCAUGUGUUGGAUACAUUUACUCCCUCCAAUCACAAGUAUGUCCUGUUGGCUGUAGGGCAUCGACACAGUCCCAAGACUGCAACUUGACUGAUAAUUUCUAUUUUAAUAUAUUUCCAAGUGCAGCUACAGCUUUGGAGAAACCAAUUCCGUGUGCAGUUGGAAAUACACUUGCCUGUGAUGAAUUUGAUGAAGUGAAAACCUUAAGUUCAGGUGAUGAAAGGUACAAGGUUGAGUUUUUUUUUGUUUCUGCAUAUCUAAAACAACAGUAUCUUGUUUGGCUAUUUUUUAUGCUAAUUGUUCUAUCAUGUGAUAAUCGAAUAGUGAGACAACAGCAUAAUCCCUUCUGCACCUCUUAACCUACAAAAAGAUGUGAUGUGAAGACAUGUCUGUUUCGUAAACUUUAGAGCAAAUAUAUUAUCUUUUUAUCUAGCUCAUUUUUUUGAGGUGGGCUUUUAUCUAGUUCAUGGUUUGCCAAAAAAUAAUCCCCUUAAUUGCAUUGAUCUGACAUACUAUUGUGCUUCCAUAUAUAUUUAUUUGUUACAACUAGCAUCACAAAUCAGCGAUACAGGGGCAGUGAUAGACGCGUAUAUACAUAUGUAUAUUGGCUAUAUAUAUACUCCUAUAUAAAAGAAGGUAAUGGUGGUGAUAGCUUAACACCCCACCUACUAGUAUUGUAAAUUUUACGAGUUACUCAUUGAACUUCUAAAUGCAAAAGAAACAAGCAAAUCUAAAUCGAUAGCCUCUGUGGCUUCUUGUUCCCAUCCUCUUCUCCAUAGCAUGGGCGGAGCUUUCGAUGGGAUGCCUGUGCAGUCGCCGGUUUUCGUUUCCUCUAAUGCAGAUGGUUUGCUCCGGUGGCUGCAUGAUUUAGCUCUAGGUCGGUCCUUUCCUUUUUCGGCCGCCAAUCAAAUUGUACACAUUAGCCGCCAAUCAAAUUGUACACAUUAAUAAAUUUUCUUUUAUCUAUAGCAAAGCAUGGGCAUUCAAUACUUGUGAGCAAAGCACGGGCAUUCAAUUAGUAAUUGUGACAAUUUUAGGACUAUUAGCCUUGGUUCCGUUUAGACCUAAUUAAUGAAUAUUAACCUUAAUACCAAAAUUUUAUGUGUUAGCCUUGGGAUUAUUAUACACAAAACUCGUGAAUGUUAACCAUAGGGCGAAAAAAAUUCGAGAUAUAUCGCCUUUGGCCUAUAAUUUCAUGAGUUAUAUCCUUAUGCCAAAAUUUCAUGAGUAUUAGUCUUAUGGAAAAAAUGCACGAAUAUUUUUGUUCUGCCGAUAUUAGGACUAUUAGCCCUAGUCCCAUCUGGAACAAAUUAAUGAAAUAUUAUUCUUAGUAGAGUGGUAGCCUUGCGAUCAGUCAAAACAAAACUCGUGAAUAUUCACUAGAUGAACCAAAAAAAUUGAGAUAUAUUGCCUUUGUCCUAUAAUUUAGUGUGUUUUAGCCUUGGCAAAAAUUCACGACCAACUUUUUGCAAAAAAAAAGCAUGAAUCUUGUCUUCAACCCAAAUUUCACAAAGAUUAGACUAUGGCAUGAUUGGAACAAUAUUUGUGAAUACUAACUUUAGGAGAACAUUUCGUGAUUUUUUUUAGCCUUCGGCUAGAAGAAAUUCAUUAGUAUGAACCUUAUUAUUGAAAAAAAAACACAUGAAUAUUUUUAGUUCAGCUGACCUUGGUCCCGUUCAGAACACAAUCAACUUAGUACCAAAAUUUUACGAGUGUUAGCCUUGGGAUCGUCAGACACAACGUGAAUAUUAACCAUAGGACCAAACAAAUAGGAGAUUUUUGGGCUUUGAAAUAUAAUUUGGUUAGAUUUUUUAUUAUUUAUUGAACCUUUUUAAGUUUUAAUUUUUAAAAUAAAUCCUCUCAAAACAUAUUUCCAAAAAUUGGAACCCUUCGUCCACACCACCUCCCCUAGCAUGACGAAAUAACACUGUCAUGCCACCCGUAAUUGUUUUGCCACACCAGCCAGGUUGGUGUGGCGAAAUAACAUUGCCACACUAUUCAGACCAGCGUGGCCAAAUAACGCUACCACGCCAGCUAGAUCGGCAUGGCCGAAAGAUUCUGUUUUGAAAAUAAAAGAUUUCGGAGAAGUUUCAAAAAACAAAAGAAGUUCAUUUGGUGAAAUUCAUUAGGAUUAUACCUAUUGGAAAACACAUUAAUAUUUUCUCCAUGCCAAAAUUUUAAGAACUAUCAACCUUUGGCUCGUUUGGAAAAAAAUCAUGAACCAAAUAGUCCUUGGGAUCGUUGUGCACAAAACUCGUAAUAUUAAUCAUAUAGGACAAAAAAAUCCGUGGCUUUUAACCUUAGGCUGUAAUUUCGUAAGUUACAGUUGUUUGCCAAAAUUCAUGAGUAAAUACCUUUGGCAAGAAAAGGCAUGAAUAAUUUUCAUCAGUUCAAAAUUUCACGAGAAUUAGCCUUGGGAUUGUUAGGCACUUAAUUGGAGAAGAUUAACCUUAGAAAUAAAAAGUGGGCUAUAAUUUCGUGACUUGGCCUUUUGCCAAAAUUCAUGAGUACCUUUGACAAAAAAAAGCAUGAAUAUCAACCUUAGGAGCAAAAGCUUUGUGAUUUUUAUCCUUCAUGCUAUAAUUUUAAGAGUUAUAGCCGUUGUCCAAAUUUCAUGAGUAAUAACACCUGUGACAAUGCAUUAAUAUUUGUCAUCAGCAUAAAAUUUCAUGUGUGUUACUAUGGGUAUCAUCGGGCGUAAAAUUUGUGAAUAUUUUUCUCUGGCUCACGUUUCACGACAAUUAGCCUUGGCCUUGUUCGCAACAAAAUUCGUGAACAUUAACCAUGUGAACAAGAGAAGUGUGAUUUUGUAGUCUUCAUGCUAUAAUUUCGUCGAUCAAAAUUUUGUAGCCUUGGCAUGAGUUUUUUUCGCCCAAAAUAUCAAGAUUUUUAGCUUUGUAUCAUCAGGCAUAAAAAAAUCGUGAAUAUCUUUCUUUGGCUCCAAUCUCAAGACAAUAUUAACCUUGGGCCUGUUCAGAACAAAAUUCGUGAAACAAAGUUUCGUGAUUUUUAACUUUCAGCCUAUAAUUUCAUGAGCAAUAACAUUUGGAAAAACACAUAAAUAUUUUUCCCUUGGCCCAAAAUAUCAUAAGACGUCUUGGUAUCAUAGAGCAUAAAAUUAAUGAAUGUUUUUUCUCAGAUUAUCCCGUUUCGAACAAAAUUUUCAAAACUUAACCUCUGGAACAAAAUUUGUGAUUUUUAGUGUUCGACCUAUCAAUAUAAUUUCGUAAGUUAUAUAGCCUUCUAUCAAUAUUUAUUGGGUAUUAUACUUGUGGAAAAAAACAUAUUAGGACUAUUGACCAUCAGACUUGGGAUGGUUAGGCAAAAAACUCGUAAUUAAUAACCAUAGGACCAAAAAUUCCAUAACUUAGCUUCUAGCUAUAAUUUCGUGAGUUAUAGCUAUAGCCAUCAGCCAAAAUUAAUGAGCAGCAAUCCUUGGUAAAAAAGAUUGAAUAUCCAAUGAGCACAAAACUCGUGAAUGUUAACCUUAGGAACUAAAGUUUAGUUAACUUUAACCUUCAUGCUAUAAUUUCGUGACUUAAAGCCUUCUGAAAAAGCGUGAAUACUAACCUUAGGUAAAGGAGGAACAAAUAUUUUUCUCCUGCCCAAAAUAUCGUGAAUGUUAGCCUUGGGAUCGUUAGGCACAAAAUUCAUAAUAUUAAUCUCCAGACUAAAACUUUCAUGAAUAUUAACCUCCAGACUAAAACUUUCAUGAUUUUUUCCAUCGCUCUAUAGUUUCGAGAGUUGUAGUCUUCCACAAAAAUUCAUGAGUAUUAAAGUUUGGGAGGAAAACACAUAAAUAUUUCUCUUGCCAAUUCAUGAUUUUUGCCGUUGGCUUAUACUCUCGUGUGUUAAUAAUAGCCUUAGGUAGAAACACGCGAGUAUUGACCUUUAGAAAAAUACGCAUGAUUUUUUUCUCCAGCCCAAAACUUCACUAGUAUUAGUAUCGGGAUGGUAGCACAUCAAUUUUGUUACCAUUAACAUUACAAGAAAAUAAAUUCAUGAUUGUUUGCCAUCACACUAUUUUCAUGUUAGCCUCAUGAGUGUAAUCUUUUUGUAAAAAAACAUAUGAUUUUCCCAAAAUUUUACUUUUAUUAGCAUUGAGAUUGUUGCGCAUAGAGUUUGUGAAUCUUAACAUUACAUCAAAAAUUUUAGAGUAAAUUUCACAAAACUACACGUAAUUUGCAUAAUG